CUCUCCGCAAGGAGCGGGAGCGCUUCCACUGCUUGCGGAGAGGUCCGCGAAGCCUAGACGUGCUGAGCUCAGUGCGCACAGGCUUCAGCAUGCAGGCAACUCUCCGCAAGCAGCGGGAGCGCUUCCACUGCUUGCGGAGAG